rnacentral:rRNA from 1 species
UACGUAGGGGGCAAGCGUUGUCCGGAAUCAUUGGGCGUAAAGCGCGUGUAGGCGGUUACGUAAGUCUGCUGUGAAAGUCGGAGGCUCAACCUUCGAAAGCCGGUGGAUACUGCGUGACUAGAGUACGGAAGAGGAGAGUGGAAUUCCUGGUGUAGCAGUGAAAUGCGCAGAUAUCAGGAGGAACACCAACGGCGAAGGCAGCUCUCUGGGACGUUACUGACGCUGAGACGCGAAAGCGUGGGGAGCAAACAGGAUUAGAAACCCUGGUAGU